rnacentral:tRNA from 1 species
GGCCUCGUGGUCAGUGGUAUGAUUCUCGCUUCGGGUGCGAGAGGUCCCGGGUUCGAUUCCCGGUGAGGCCG